CAGUUGUCUAUAUUUGACAGUAAAUAGUAGAUAGGUAUAAUCCGAAUGCGAAUUAGGAAAACGCUGCUUAAUUUAAAGAUGCAGAACGUACAUCGGUUGCUAAAUCCACACAGGAUACAUGAAUUGCUAUGAAUCCGGUCAAUUAUUGUUUCCAAAAAAAUAUAGGUUAAAAUUUUAUUGAAGGGUGCUGCAACCCGCAUUCAAAAGAAUACUUUUUAUUAACCCCAAAAUAGGUGGGGUUUACAGCUGAUGAUGGGAAUAAAACUGAUUAUGAGCUGACUGAACUCACUGUGCAAUUUGUUCUAGCCAGUUGCGAGUGAGAAUAAGAUGGGGCAUUUCCUAUAGCCACAUCAAAAUCAUAUAAAAAAGUACUUAUGGUGAUACAAAAAUCCACAUUUCCUUGUAUUUGACAUUCAAUCCACAGUGCCUUGUCCAGGCUAGGUUUUGGUGGCAAAGAGCUUUGAACACAUUAAGAAUAAGAAUUUUCUUUCCUUCCACCAUCUGUCACUCUCGAGGCCCUUGACAAUCAUCAUAUGUACAAUACCACGCCUAUGGGAUACGACUAAGACCGGUCAGUUUUAUAGUUCAUUAAUUAUUUAUAACUCUCUCCAAUUAAUGUUAAAUCACAAGUUUACAGUAUUACGAUCAACGUUACGGGAGUUUAAUCGGGAUGCAGCCAGAGAACUGGUGUUAAAAAAAUUAAGACUUCAUGAACCGCGUAUAGUAUUUUAAUUUAUUACACUUAACAAGGGAUCAAUAACUUUUACGAAAAAGUCAAACAAAUGUCGAAAAUGAAAAUGAAUCGGUAAGUACGCAAUUUUAUUAUCCACAUAUUUGUAAAAAAAUAUUUUAUAUAUUAUAUUACUAUCUAUUUCUGAGUACUUAAGCAAUGACUUUGGCGAUGUUGCGUGUUUAAGUGGGUGUAUAGUGCUAAUUGUACCGCUUUUUAAUUUUUUGUUAAGUUGUCCUGCUUUGGGAUUUGUCAGUUUUCCUAGAAUACAUUAUGUGUCCUACUUUUAAACUUUUAAUUUUUUUAGAAAACUUCGUUUUAUAUUUUAUUGUCAUUUAACUUUAUAUUUUAUGACGUGUAAAAGCUCGGUAUGUAUUAUUACUAACAUCUAUCUAUCCAUAGUAGUGAAAUGCAACGCCACCACAACGUCAAACUGCAAUAUUAUGAUUUGUGCCAAAAUGUUUAAAUAUUAAAAGUACAUACGUCAAUUCCAAAAAGUUUGGACUUAUAGUUUGUAUAUACAUAAACUAGCUUGCUGUUUCUUUGUUUUUGUGUUCUAAUUGAAAAUAUAAGAUUUGACAUAUGCGCACGUCGAACUAUUAAAUGUGGGGAAAGAACGAGAAUGAUCCAUUUUCAGUAUUGCUGGCGUGGAGCAGCAGUUGACUAUUGGCAGAAUCUGUUGUGCAAUAGGUCCCUUCUUGAACAUUUUAGACGUAGAGUUAGAAGCAGUGGUAGACACCAUGUGAUAUUCAGAGCCCUUACCAGAAAGGACCGCUGCCGUAAAUAUCGAACAACUCGUUGGCCCCGACGAAUCCCGACCAAUUGUAGGUACCGUUUAUCGCAAUGUUGCCG